GCCUCUAAGAAGACAGAUCAGGCCAAGGACACAUGCUGGAGAGGAAGGAGCCCAGGAACAUGGUGAGCUGUCCAAGCCAGGAAGAAGAAACAGCCCUGAGGCUGAAGGGCCUCACUUGCAAAAAUGAAGGAUGAGCUAGCCCUAAUGGCCUAGCAGUUAAAGUUUGGUGCGUUCUGCUUUGGCGUCCUCGAUUUGGUUCCUGAGUGUGGAACCACACCACUCGUCUGUCAGUAGCCAUGCUGUGGUGGCGGCUCACAUAGAAGAACAAGAAGGACUUACAAC
rnacentral:lncRNA from 1 species